UUGGAGGGCAAGUCUGGUGCCAGCAGCCGCGGUAAUUCCAGCUCCAAUAGCGUAUAUUAAAGUUGUUGCAGUUAAAAAGCUCGUAGUUGAAUUUCGGGGUCAGUAGGUUGGUCAUGCCACAGGUAUGUACUGGUCUCACUGAUUCCUCCUUCCUGAUGAACUGUAAUGCCAUUAAUUUGGUGUUGCAGGGAAUCUGGACUGUUACUUUGAAAAAAUUAGAGUGUUUAAAGCAGGCUAACGCCUGAAUACAUUAGCAUGGAAUAAUGAAAUAGGACGUUCGAUCCUAUUUUGUUGGUUUCUAGGAUUGACGUAAUGAUUAAUAGGGAUAGUUGGGGGCAUUAGUAUUCAAUUGUCAGAGGUGAAAUUCUUGGAUUUAUUGAAGACUAACUACUGCGAAAGCAUUUGCCAAGGAUGUUUUCAUUAAUCAAGAACGAAAGUUAGGGGAUCGAAGACGAUCAGAUACCGUCGUAGUCUUAACCAUAAACUAUGCCGACUAGGAAUCGGGCGUCGUUAUUUUCACGACUCGCUCGGCGCCUUACGGGAAAC
rnacentral:rRNA from 1 species